rnacentral:rRNA from 1 species
CUAGCCACAUUUGUUCAUAUCUCGCGAGUAUCGCUACUGGGACUGGUCAUAUUGUUAGACGACUACGCCCCGGGAAUGAGACACGCCAGUGUACGGAAGCUAUCUUGCGAAUAUGACAAUGGCGCAGCAUGAUCCAGCCAUGCCGCUUGAGUGAUGCAGCAGUAGGGUCGUAAAGCUCUUGAUCCGGGACGAUAUGACGUACUAGAAGGAUAGGCCCGGCUACUUCGUGCCAGCAGCGCGGUAAUACGAAGGCGGCUAGCGUGCUCGGAAUCACUGGGCGUAAAGGGCGCGUAGGCGGCGUUUUAAGUCGGGGUGAAAGCCUGUGGCUCAUCCACAGAAUGGCCUUCGAUACUGGACGCUUGAGUAUGGUAGAGGUUGGUGGAACUGCGAGUGUAGAGGUGAAAUUCGUAGAUAUUCGCAAGAACACCGGUGGCGAAGGCGGCCAACUGGACCAUUACUGACGCUGAGGCGCGAAAGCGUGGGGAGCAAACAGGAUUAGAUACCCUGGUAGUCCACGCCGUAAACGAUGAAUGCCAGCUGUUGGGGUGCUUGCACCUCAGUAGCGCAGCUAACGCUUUGAGCAUUCCGCCUGGGGAGUACGGUCGCAAGAUUAAAACUCAAAGGAAUUGACGGGGGCCCGCACAAGCGGCGGAGCAUGCGGAUUAAUUCGAUGCAACGCGAAGAACCUUACCAAGGCUUGACAUAUACGAGAACGGGCCAGAAAUGGUCAACUCUUUGGACACUCGUAAACAGGUGGUGCAUGGUUGUCGUCAGCUCGUGUCGUGAGAUGUUGGGUUAAGUCCCGCAACGAGCGCAACCCUCGUUCUAUGUUGCCAGCACGUUAUGGUGGGAACUCAUAGGAGACUGCCGGGGUCAACUCGGAGGAAGGUGGGGAUGACGUCAAAUCAUCAUGCCCCUUAUGUCUUGGGCUUCACGCAUGCUACAAUGGCCGGUACAAAGGGCUGCAAUACCGUAAGGUGGAGCGAAUCCCAAAAAGCCGGUCUCAGUUCGGAUUGAGGUCUGCAACUCGACCUCAUGAAGUCGGAGUCGCUAGUAAUCGUGGAUCAGCAACGCCACGGUGAAUACGUUCCCGGGCCUUGUACACACCGCCCGUCAAGUCAUGAAAGUCGGUAACACCCGAAGCCGGUGGCCCAACCUUUUGGAGGGAGCCGUCGAAGGUGAUCGAAUGUG